CCACGUCUGUGUCCCCGGGGCCCCUCACACUGUGCCUGGCUCCUGGGAGGGACUGAUAGGUUGGACGGAGCGGUGGCCACCUUAACUCUGCACUGAGGUCUGAGUUUACCUUUUACUUUCUUCCUCGACAGUUUAACUUUACUGAGCCCUGUGCUCCUGCCAAACUGCGACAGUUAAGAACUACCCCCAACUUUUGUCUUCCAAGAAAUGGCUCACUGGAAAGAACCAUACUUCCCUGUACGACUAAGAGAAGACUUGCCCACACCCCCCGGUCCACCCGUGACGAGGCAAGAUGCAGAGCCUCCGCCACCCACUCUUGCCUCGCAAGCGAUCGGCUGAGCUGUUGUCCCACUGACCAGUCUGGACAAGAGGCCAGCUCACUUGACGCAACCAGAAGUCAAAACACUUUCAGAGGAUGCUUCACAGAAGGCUCAACUCAGAACACCUGACAGACGACGCCCUAAACAAAGACAUUCCAUCAUCUCACCAAGAACGGAAGUCAGGAGGAGGAAAUCGUAUCCAGAAGCCCCUUAGGAGAUCUCCCCUGACAUCUCAUCGACCGGAGCUGGGUUACAUGGUUACUCCGAGACCUGAGAGAAGCCGGGAGGGGCAUCAACUGGCCCAUCUGAUAAACGGGUCCCGGAGUUGUCAGGCUGGGAGGCCUCCCCUGCUUAGUCUGCUUGAUCAAAUCAGAGCCUUUCUGAGGACAGUGUCCUGCCCAACUCAGUGCUCAGUGAAGUCCAGCACUCAGUGAAGAUGGCUGUCUCCGGCCGGCAGGCUGGUCAGACGGGAUCCUGGAAACCUUUCAAAUGAAAACCACGCAGGAGGGCCGUCUCUAGUGCGUCCACCUCUCCAUCUGUAAAAUGGGUAAUAAUGCCCGUUGCACAGGGUGACUGGGCGCCUACUGCAAUGCCAGCUCGUGGUGAGGGCUCCAUACCAGCUCGCUCGCUUCCCCACCCAGAGGGAAGGAGCCCGAGCCCCGGCCUAAGCCUGGCUGCUCUCCCUCCAACUCAGAGCAGAGGAACAGGCACAGAACUGCUUUGAAGAACCCAAGUUAAUUGGAAAUCUUUCCUAAAAUCAUGCUGCACUUUCCAAGGCCAUUUGAAAAUUCAUGUGCAAGGGUCACACGGCCCCUGUGAGUCCAGCCAUUGGGGUCUUCACACUAUUUCAAGUCGCCGACUUGGCUCUGAGACCCCUGUUAUGAAAGUGCCCAUCUGUGAGUUGCCUUUGAAAGUCACGGAAAACACAAAGCUCGGAGACUGAGGAAGGCCCCUCUCUGGUUAACGGUGCAUCUUCCACUACGAGAAAUGAGACUGCCUCCACAGCCGUCACUCAACUUGACGUCAAGGGACCUUCCUACCUGCCAGGAGUCCAGGGCAGGACGAGAAGCCUCUGAAGAGACUGUCCUCAGGUCUUUCCUAGAGCACUGGCCACACAGACAGGGCUUCCACUGGACUCAUGGGCUGUCUCUGACCAGGCUGCCAGGGCCAGACAAAGCCCGGCUCACAGCAGGCGCUGAGCAAGUGUUGUUGAAUGACUGAAUGAAUGAGCAAAAUAAUAAAAUGUGGCAAAGAUUGG
ensembl:lncRNA